rnacentral:rRNA from 1 species
GGACCUGACUGCUAUCGGAUUGAUACUAAGCCAUGCGAGUCAUUGUAGCAAUACAAGGCAUACGGCUCAGUAACGCGUAGUCAACCUAACCUAUGGACGGGAAUAACCUCGGGAAACUGAGAAUAAUGCCCGAUAGAACAUUAUGCCUGGAAUGGUUUAUGUUCCAAAUGAUUUAUCGCCGUAGGAUGGGACUGCGGCCUAUCAGUUUGUUGGUGAGGUAAUGGCCCACCAAGACUAUUACAGGUACGGGCUCUGAGAGGAGUAGCCCGGAGAUGGGUACUGAGACACGGACCCAGGCCCUAUGGGGCGCAGCAGGCGAGAAAACUUUGCAAUGUGCGAAAGCACGACAGGGUUAAUCCGAGUGGUUUCUGCUAAAGAAACCUUUUGUCAGUCCUAGAAACACUGAUGAAUAAGGGGUGGGCAAGUUCUGGUGU